AUGGUUCCCAUCGGCUGUAACAGCAACUCCAUGUGGAAGCAGUCCGGCCGUUCCAGUGGAGCGGCUGUUAUAGUCGGUGGGGGCUGC
ensembl:miRNA aca-mir-194-2 aca-mir-194-2